rnacentral:rRNA from 1 species
AGAGAGAGACAUGCGCGCAUAUCAAUAAGCGGAGGAAAAGAAACUAACAAGGAUUCCCCUAGUAACGGCGAGUGAAGCGGGAAGAGCUCAAAUUUGAAAUCUUCAAGGGUUCUACCUUUACGAAUUGUAGUUUAAAGAAGUGUUUUCUGUUGAGGUUUUGGUAAUAGUUCUUUGGAAUAGGACAUCAUAGAGGGUGAGAAUCCCGUAUUUGACCUUUACUUUCAACUUUGUGAUACACUUUCAAAGAGUCGGAUUGUUUGGGAAUGCAGUCCAAAAUGGGUGGUAAAUUUCAUCUAAAGCUAAAUAUUGGCGAGAGACCGAUAGCGAACAAGUACCGUGAGGGAAAGAUGAAAAGAACUUUGAAAAGAGAGUUAAACAGUACGUGAAAUUGUCAAAAGGGAAGCGUUUGACACCAGUGUUGUUUUUCUGAAAAUCAAUUAAAGAACUGUUUAUGCUAAGCUGUUUAGACUUUAUCAGCUAACUGUUUAGUUUUGAGCUUUUCUUUAAUGCACUUUUCAGUUAACAAGUCAACAUCAAUUUCUUUUGCUGUAAAAAAGCUUGAGGAAGGUGGCUUGAGAUUCGUCUUAAGUGUUUAUAGCCUCUUGCCUAUGCAGUCGGAGAGAUUGAGGUCUGCAGCGUAGAUCCUUCGGGGCUAAAUGCAUUUGUGCUAAGUUAUAGCAUUUUAUAGACAACUUGUUGACUAUGAUUUGUCUUGUAGCUUACUCGCUUAUGUUAUUUUACCUACGCUUAGGAUGUUGAGCGCAUGUCUCUCUCU